AUCCACCUGAAAAGUCUCACUUGGGACGAAACUCGAGUCCUGGAU
rnacentral:hammerhead_ribozyme from 1 species